UACACUCCUACGGGAGGCAGCAGUGGGGAAUAUUGGCCAAUGGGCGCAAGCCUGAUCCAGCCAUGCCGCGUGAGUGAUGAAGGCCCUAGGGUUGUAAAGCUCUUUCACCGGUGAAGAUAAUGACGGUAACCGGAGAAGAAGCCCCGGCUAACUUCGUGCCAGCAGCCGCGGUAAUACGAAGGGGGCUAGCGUUGUUCGGAUUUACUGGGCGUAAAGCGCACGUAGGCGGACUAUUAAGUCAGGGGUGAAAUCCCGGGGCUCAACCCCGGAACUGCCUUUGAUACUGGUAGUCUUGAGUUCGAGAGAGGUGAGUGGAAUUCCGAGUGUAGAGGUGAAAUUCGUAGAUAUUCGGAGGAACACCAGUGGCGAAGGCGGCUCACUGGCUCGAUACUGACGCUGAGGUGCGAAAGCGUGGGGAGCAAACAGGAUUAGAAACCCGGGUAGUCCC
rnacentral:rRNA from 1 species